rnacentral:lncRNA from 1 species
UGUUUGCUGCAGUAAGUUCAUUGUAGGAAUUGGCUGUGCACUUAUAUGGAAUCUAUCUCCCUUGGUAGAUAGGGACUUUAGUCCUAUGUAAUUUAUGAGACUGAGUUUAGAAAACCUUGACUAGGGCAGAAUUAAUAGCGGAAAGGAAUUUUCGAUAUUAGAAACUCGAGUCGAAUAAAUUUGACAUAUGACAGACGAUAGGGUUUGACGAGUUAUUUCAUGACCUCCGUCUAGUCGGAACUCAUAAUAGAACGACUGUAACACACGGUAACUGCUCUAAGAGGUUCAAUAUUCCAUUCUACUGGAAUGCCAGUACAUGAUGCUAGGCGUCACUGGUGGAUUGUGAGACUCAUGAGAAUUAUAGAUGAUUGAUAAUUCUCAUUGGGCUGAGUUGAAAUUGUUCUGAUCCAAUGAAAGGAGUUUCAGUGAUAUUGUUGAUAGUGAUCAAAAUAUAUUUCACUAACAGAUAGAAUAGAACCUAUAGGGUCACACACAUAAGAGGUUGUGAUUGAUCGGAUAGCUAGAUCACAAUUUUUGAAUUGUCAGAGGACCUAAUUGUCAAUAUGUUGAUAAUUGGACUAAUUUGUAAUUGUUACAAAUUAGUGAUAUUAAAGUGUAAAUGUUACAAGAGAUGACUUACUGAUAGUUAGUAAAUUAUGAGAGGACUUAUGUGCAAAUAUUGUAUUAUUAAUUUGAUAUGAUUAAAUUAAAAUAAAAUUCAAGUUGAAUCAAAUUAGGAUUUGAUCGAUCUAACCAAUUAAGGAAAGAAUAAAUUUAAAUAUAGAUUUAUACUUAUUCUUAAUGGUCAUUAUAUUAAAAAGAGAAUUAUAUCUAUAUAUAUAAUAUAUAGGAGUUUUUAGAAAACCCUAGCUGUAAUCUCUCUUCUCCUCUCUCUUUCAU